UAAAAAAUUAAACGGUUUUUUAAAUAAUUGUAAAAUAUUUAUAUCUUAAAUUUAGAUUUAUUUAAUUUUUAAUAAAUUAUUUAGAAAUUUUAUUUUGACAAAAUUGCUGCGUUCUAAUGUAUCAUCUUAGCGCAAUUAUUCAAAAUUUUUAUCAAUUUAUGAUAUUAUUGUACAAUAUUCACAUAAUGGGAGUAUAAUAAUGUAACUCAAAAAUUAUCAUUUCUGAAUUGUCUGUAAAAAUAUAUAUUCUGUAAAAAUAAAAAUAAUUCUGAUGAGAACUCAGUACACUGAAUAAAGAGCUAAUGUUUUUAUUCAAUCAGUACACCAAAUCGUUAUAUCAAAGCAUUCAAAAAUAUUAUGAAAUUUUUAUAGUUUAAAACAUUCAAAUUAGAAAACUUUUUAAAUUAUUGCGUUAAAUAAGCCUUACAAAAAGUACAUGCAACUUAGGCGUUGAUGGUCCGAAAUAACACUCAAAUUAAGUGUUAACUCCCAAAUAAAUUUUGAACUUGAGGGUUAACAUUCAAUUUGAGUGUCAUUUCGGAUCACUAACGCCUAGUUGAGUGUAUUUUUUUGUAAGGGAAGUAAUAUAAAUACAGAUAACAAGUAGUAAAUAUACAUAUGAACUAGUAAAAGAGCAACAUAGAAAAAGAUAUUAAGAAUACGAAGAUAUUUGGAAUAUAAAGAUUUGACUGUAAGUAGCAAUGACAGUAAAUUACAACUGCUUACAGUUGUACAGGAAAGUAACAAAAAGCCAAAGGUAAUCUAAGCGGAAAUUAUAAACCGUAUUCGCAUUCAAUAUUUCACAUUUUAAUACACAUUCAAAAUCAUAUGUACAAAAUAUACAUCACACAAUUUUUCUAAUGACAAAACUUACUACUUCAUAUCAAGUGCUAGAAAAUCAAUUUUUAGUCUUUUUAAUCUUUUAUUUUAUUUUUAGCACUAGACUCUGAUUAGAAUAUAAAUUUGAAUCCAAGGAGUAAACAUUGAAACUUUGCAAAAUUCAAGGAAUAUUAUAUAUAUGAAACUACAAUUUUAGAUAAUGCAUUUUAUAUUAUUUUAUAUAUGAAACAACUUUAUUGAACAAUGGAUAUUCACAUAAUUUUUAUAUAGAAUUACAAAUUGUUAACAAAAAAUUAUAUUUUAAAGCUUCUGACUAGUCGCCGCGACAAUUAAAAAUGUACCAUCAUAAGCAAAAAAUCACACAUAAGUUUCUUGCGUGCCAUUUGUAAAUAAAAAGAAUGUAACUAAAACAAAAUAAUAAGAUCGCUUUAAAACUUGUAAAAAUGGAUCUCAAUUAUUCUUUUUAAUCGUGACAGUCAGUAAAUAGUAUAAAAAGUGAAACCUAUUGAGACAGGAAAAUAUACGGUUAGGCUGAAAUUCUUACGUGCUAUUUAUAAAUAAAGAAAAUUUAAAUAAAAUAAUAAGAUCAUUUUAAAGCACUUGUAAAAUUGGUUUGACUCUUUCUUUUUCCGCCAAACAGUCACUAAAUUAGUCAUAAAAAGCACGAAAAGUGAAAUCUAUUCAAACAGGAAAACACGGACAACUGUUGAAAAGAGUGAUAAAUAUGUUUUUAUGUAUAAAAUUUAAAGAUAAUUUUACUUAAUAUUUUAAUGAAUUUGGUAAAUACGAGACAAGUCACAUUUGCACAAUGCGAAGCAUAUAAUAACGAAACGACAUGCAAGACAUUUCACGUUACAACAUGUCACGUUUCAUGCCUAUUAGUUUUAAUUUUUCCCAUGACACUAUGUCGCCACUAUCAACGCAGAGUUCUCGGCUGACUAGUCAAGAAUCUUAAUAUGUGUAUGAAACUUUUAUUAUUUUACUCAAAAAAAAAUGCUAGUAAUUUGUUAGUAAAUUAGUAACAAAUCAAUUUUGACUGCAGAUUUAUAGUUAUUUGUUCGAUCAGUUAAUUAACAUUUUUUUAACAAAACAUAUGAUAUGUCUAUUAACUAUGUUAGCAAAUUGUUAGCAUAAAUCAAACAAGAUCUACGCACACGAGCAAUUUAACAGAUUGCAGAAAUUGAACAGAAGCUACAAAUCCUAUUAGAUUUUUGCCACCAAUCUACUAAAAAUGUAUGUGAGCAGAUUCUGUCAUAUUUUUGACGGCAUUGCGUAAUCUGAUGUGUAGAGAGAGAUGGGAGAUCACUGGGAGAUUACUUGGUUGGAUUUUGUACAUUGUGCGUGCAUACGUGCGUGCGCGCAUACGCGUGUCUGUGCGUACGUAUAUAUUUUUGAAGUGUACAUACAUGUGUAUUUGUGAGACUUUAUAUAGAUGCACUUUUUUCUAUUAAAUUGAGAAGUUUUAUUCUAAACUUUUAACGCAGUGCCUCUUCUAAAUUUACCAUAGUCGUCGGCUAUCUUCGCUGAUUUCUCAAACGAUCUUCCAUUAAGGAUGCGCGAAGUAAUAUAUGUCGAAAAGGUAACAACACUUUUUACUAAAAAAAGUGUUUACAUAUACAUACAAACACAUAUACACUCCAUGCACGUACACGCACACACACAUACAUAUGAUGUGAAAUUCGACCGAGCAACCUUUUCAUAAUGCACAUCGGUUUACGCAAAUGCAGGUGAUAUCGUGUUAAAUUCAAAAAAAAACGGGAGACUUUAAAUUGUGACAUCUUGCUAACUAAUGAAUGUAGAGAAAAAUUUUUCUUUUUAUUUCAAAGAGCAAAUUUCAUUAUAUUUUGAGAUAUUAUCAAUGAUUAUGUUCGCUAAUUUUUUUUUAUAAGCAGUAGAGGACUACAAAUUUGCAGAUUUUUAUUAUCUCAAAUACAUCUUUAUUCAAAACCGACCACAUCUUUAAAUAAUAAACUGAAUAAAAAUUGAACUAAAUCACCUUAUAGUAGAGAGUUUACCCUGUAAAGCUCUUUAUUUGAUUUAUUUUUACGUUAUUUAUUAACUGAGUAAUUUAAAGUUUAAAACUGGGCAAAAAUUUACUGAAGAAAAGUUGUUCCCUGAUUUUUUUGAGCAGUGUAUACAUAAAUUUGCGUUUUAAUAUAAUGUAUAUUAUUCUAUUAAUAAAAUAGUUAGAUUAAAAUUAUUUCUUUAAAAUAAAAAUUAAAAAAUUAGAAACGUCAUUUUUAAACAUUUUUUUAGUAGCAAUAAAAACAUUUCAAAUAUCUGCAAAAUAGCAGGAUUUGCUCGAUUUCUUCUAUCAAUUUGCCAUUAGAUUAUACCCUCAGAUCUUCCUUGAUUUCAAUCGUCAAUUUGCCAAUCGGUUACGUCAACAAACUUUUCUUUUUAAUGAUCAUCUGCUGUCAUGUCAUAUUAGCAGAUUUUAUUCACAUAAUACACGUUUAUAGUGAACACAGGUACUGGAUUUGUUGUCAUUUUUUAAGCAAAUUUAUUGUGUAAUUUGACGACAAUUUGCUAUGAAUUUAUUCACUGGACAGAUAUUACAGACUCUGUGAAAUGUGUUGUAUUUCUGCCAUCAAAAAUUCGUAGCAUACUCUGUUUAAAAUCUGUCUCUACAGACUUUGCUAUCUGGGUUACUUAUCUAUAGUUAUUUAUAUUUUAUUAUAUAUAUGUCACACUAGAAUGAAUAUAAAAAUUAUAAUAUACGAUGCGAAUACAGUUUUAUGUAUACAUAAAUUUGAAUAUUCUUGGAAAACGAAGAAUUUUUCAAUCGAAUGCUAUUGUUAGUAUUUUUAGUUUUUAUGUUAUGUUUCAUUAGUAACAUGCGUAAUAUCAGUAUGUUGUAUCAUAAUUGUUACAUACGUUAUGCGAUCGCCCGUAUUGUGUUUGUAUUAUAUUAAUUAUUGUAUUAUUUUGGGAUUGUAUAUAUUUAAUAAUUAUUAUAAUAGCAAGAGAGAGGAAGUUUUUGUCCUGAAAUUCCUAUUAUUUUAUAAAUUAGAAGUUGAUUAAGUGCAUUUCCGGUAUUUAAGUAUUAAUUUCAAAAAAAGGUAUUAAGAUCGUGUAUUAUAAAAAAAUCAUUUAUAUAUACAUAACAUAUAAUGAGUGAAAACAUUGUGAGCUUAUUAUUAGAAUAAAAUUAUAUUCUUAUUGUACAUUUUUUAUCCUAUUUUUAUUCAGUUGACAUUCAAAAUAAAAAUAUUGUGCUUUUUAUUUCUCCUACGUAUUUAAAUGUAAAAUGGCGAGGUACAGUAGCGUAUAAAAGUAGUUUAUAUAGUAUUUAGCUGAUUCAUAUUUUAUCGUGUAUUAACUUUUAUGUUGCAUCUUUUUUUAAUAAAUUUUUGUAUUUCAAAAUUUUUAUAAAUAAUAUUUAAAUUUAGUUUAUCAUAAAUUGUCUAUGCAUUUAUUCAUUUCAUCCAUAUUAUUAAAACAAUACAUAUGUUUGCGUUCACACAUACACACACGUGGUUUGUUCAGAUUUUCUCUCCCUCCCCUCUCUCUCUCUCUCUCUCUCUUCCUCUCCCUCUCUCUGAGUAUCUCAGAUUUCUCAGGGAGAAAUGAUAAGUCAGAUCGGCAUCAAAUUAAUAUCAUUUUGACGAUUAAAAUCAAAUUUGACAUCUACAUCGAUGUUAAAAUGUUCGAAUUUUGAUGCUAUUUAAAUAUUAAUAUCGACAUCGAAUUAAUAUCGAUUCGGCACCCUAACAGCACAACUAUCUAUAUGUCGACUGUAAGUCGACUUUUGCGAGUCAGGCUUUCAGUAGUUGACUGCAAGACGACUUUGCAUAGACGUCUGCAGACGUCUUUCAAAAGUUGACUUUAAGACGUCUAGAAAAAGACAUUUUGAAAUCGACUGGACUGAGCGCCACUGCAGUGAGCAAACACCGCUGUCACCGAUGCUGCGUGACAGCGUCGAGCGGGAGUCAUCAAGUUUCUCGCGAGAGUCAAGCCGCGUUGUUGUAAGUUGUAAUCCUAGUCAUCUGUCGGCUCUUUUGCUUAUUAAAUAAAGACUAUUAAUUUCAGCCGUUCGGACAUCCAGAGUUCUCUUGUACUCUCCGCUAUUUUCUAUUAUCUAUCGCAGCGUGUGCAGCCAUACCGGUCAUGUACGGCAAUUGCCAUUGUGAGCUGUUGUUGAGGGACAGUCGAGUCGUGAAGUGGGACUAUGUUUCGAGAUCAGUGGUGUCGAAGCAGUUAAAAACACUGGAGAUAUGUGUAUCGAGAUUUCUCUGCCAAAGCAUUUCCAAUCCAUGGUAUUUAUGUCGCUGUCGAGGUUGAGUAGCACGAAAACUGGCAGAGUCAUAAAGAACUUUACGUGACGGAGAAAAGAAGCUACAACUGAACGUAUUUACUACAAAAAAGAACACAAUUAAAGAAUGUACCAGCAAUCAAGAUAAACAAAUUAUCCCUCAAUAUCUUGCGUAAAACAAAGUGACAUUCUUCAUUCAUUAGAGAUUCGAGUUGCAGAAUGCGAAAUGAAGAAGAAUAUUUUAUCUAUGAUACGUAUGGACUGGACCCCUUUGCAGCACCCCUUUGCAACAAAGAAUCCAUUUCUUAAAAUGUUAGCUAAGUUCUAUAAUUUAUAUAGAAGGAACAUUUUACAUUGGGGCGGAUCCCGAUAGCGCACGGGACCGAUAGCACACCACCACUCACAGCGGCCGAUGCCUAGAGUUUUUCCGUUGGUUAGAUAAGUCAAGAUAAUUGGUUGGUGGGCUAUCGCACCGUGCGCUAUCGGAUCCGGUUCUUUUCAUUGACAUUGUAUAAAUUUAGAAUCUAUACAUGUAUACAGGGUAUUUAACGAGAGGUGAGAAAUAAAGGUUUUUUUUUCUUA